GACGAACGCUGGCGGCGUGCUUAACACAUGCAAGUCGAACGGAAAGGCCCUGCUUUUGUGGGGUGCUCGAGUGGCGAACGGGUGAGUAACACGUGAGUAACCUGCCCUUGACUUUUGGAUAACUUCAGGAAACUGGGGCUAAUACCGGAUAGGAGCUCCUGCUGCAUGGUGGGGGUUGGAAAGUUUCGGCGGUUGGGGAUGGACUCGCGGCUUAUCAGCUUGUUGGUGGGGUAGUGGCUUACCAAGGCUUUGACGGGUAGCCGGCCUGAGAGGGUGACCGGCCACAUUGGGACUGAGAUACGGACCAGACUCCUACGGGAGGCAGCAGUGGGGAAUAUUGCACAAUGGGCGGAAGCCUGAUGCAGCAACGCCGAGUGCGGGAUGACGGCCUUCGGGUUGUAAACCGCUUUCGCCUGUGACGAAGCGCGAGUGACGGUAAUGGGUAAAGAAGCACCGGCUAACUACGUG
rnacentral:rRNA from 1 species